UUCAAUAUUGAAUGUGUUAGCUGUAUAAACCUGUUUUCUUCACUAUUUACUUGCAUUUUGGUUGUUUUUCUUUGUCGUUUUGAUAUGUUACAGUAUCUCUUCAUCAUGUUAGCUUAAUCUCUUAAGAGUUGUUUACAUAAUUCGAAUGAUGGUUAUGUCCCUCUUGUAUUUCAAUUUUGAUGUCUUUUUUUUUACGAAUUUUCCCCUCUUGUAUUUCAGUUUUGAUGUCUUUUUUUUUACGAAUUUUCCAUAGUCUCAUCUCGCUCGAUUUAGUGUCGUUCUUAUUUUUCUUUCAUUUGAAUGUGGUCAAGUCUAUCUCGAAUAUUGUCAACAUGUCUUCUCGCCAAGUUGUUUUGAGCUAAUCUUGUGUCUUUAGUGUUGUUCGUUUCAAAUCUCUUUGCUUGAAUGUUAGUUGGGUUACUUUAAAUUGUAGUAGAGCUUUCAAAGUGGAUAUUUAGACGACUUGUUUCCUCUUCUCCCUCGAAUAUUUCGAUUUCUCUUUAGCAUGAUCAAGUUUUGUUUAAAGUUUGUUGCAUAAUUAUUUGUGAUUAGCGGUGGUGCGGCCUUUUGAAGUUAUUAUUUUAGUGCACAGUUAUAAGUGAAAUCAAGCUCCUACUUAAUUAUUAUUUUUUUGAAAAUAAUGGGAUAUAUCCGGUUAAUCUCUGAACUUUCCAAAUGGGUUAUAGUUUGGUUUGUUGUUGAUUGUAUUGCUAAAUGUAUAGCGUGUGUCAUUUGAUAUUCUGCAAUUCCUUGCCUCUACUACAUUAUUCCCUCCCUUCCCUUGAUUUGUUGGAAUUCAUUUGGCUUAGUUUUUUAGCUACUCAUCUAUGCCUAAUUCCCUGGAAAUUGCAUUUGUGACCAAAUAAUUCUUAAGAUAGUAGCAUAGCACAUUUAUUUGUUUAUUGUUUUGAGCAUGAAUAUUGGUUAGAUCCCAUAGGAAUCUAAUUUUGAUCUCCCCAAAAGCAAUAGCUUCAUGUCAAAUUUAAUCCUCUAUUUUGUAAUAUGUGGUGUCUUUAGUUAGAUCUUUGUUGAUCAUCUUCUCUUCUUUUUUUUAUGUGUUCUUAUUGAGAUUAUCUUUGAUAAAAAAUGGUCACAUGUAUUGAGUUCUUGGCCUUAUUCUUGAUAUGCUAUUUGUUUAGGAGUUCUCUUACUUUAGUUUGAGUUUAGGUCUAGGAAAUUGUUAAAUGUUUCUUAUGUUUAUUAUUAUUUAAGGUUGGUUUUCCUUUUGCUAACUUAGUUUUGUCUUUCUUUUUUCUUGCCAUGAAAUUUGUCCGAGUUCUAACAUGAACUCCUAUCUCCUAUCCUUGCCUCUUGAGUUGUGUCGAAAUUCAAUAUUUCUCCUAUAUCGAGUCAUCCAGAAUAGCGGAACAGGCUGAAACGCAGUCCCAAAAAGCUGUAAACAGUUUGUAUACACGAAGUAUACAAUGAUAUACAUGUCAAUUGCAAAAAUA
rnacentral:lncRNA from 1 species